UGAGGCUGGGGUCAAUUGAACCAGGCAGGACCAACGGGGUCCUGGUCGGCAAGAUCAUCCCGGCAUGGUCAGGUGCACCUGCAGUGCAUCCCCUUCAUCCCUCUCCCUGUGCCCUGGCAAUCUCUAGUGCCAUCUCACCUUUCCCUUCUCCUUUCUUACCUAGCCUUGCUGUCCCGACUUCCUAGAUUCUCAGUGUGGAAACUCUGUUCCUUGCCCCCCUCUUUGGCUGUAAACUUAUGUAAGUUAGCUUGGCUGACCAACCGUUGCACAGCAGCAGGCCUUUGCAGAAACACCUCUGUCCAGGCCUUAAAGAGCCAAUCCAGUUGCUUUUUCCGCUGCUCACCAAAUAUCCAGCCCCACAAGUCAGGGAGCCCGGCAGUCCUUCCCAGGAGCUGACUGCACACAUUCCUGGAAGAUGCUUUGGUCCGUUGCGCUGGUGCUCGUCAGUUUUCAGUCUUCUUCUGUGGUUGAGGGAAUAUGUUUUGAAUCUCUCUUCCUGGGGAAGAACAAAAUAAGUUAACAGAAGCCCACUGUCUUCAGCUGCUGAGAGUGCGGGUUUUCAAUAAACUCCACUGGUUUGGCCUGGAUGGGAGAGAUGAUGUGCGAAGUGAUGCCGACCAUUAGUGAAGCAGAAGGCCCCCCAGGAGGAGGUGGGAGCCAUGGGUCAGGCUCCCCUUCACAGCCAGACGCUGAUUCACAUUUUGAGCAGCUCAUGGUCUCCAUGCUGGAGGAAAGAGACCGCCUUCUGGACACACUGAGAGAGACACAAGAAACAUUGGCGUUAACCCAGGGGAAAUUGCACGAGGUUGGUCAUGAAAGAGAUUCCUUGCAGAGGCAGCUCAACACUGCACUUCCACAGGAGUUUGCUGCGCUCACAAAGGAACUCAACGUGUGUAGGGAGCAGCUUUUGGAGAGGGAGGAGGAAAUCGCUGAGCUGAAGGCAGAGAGGAACAACACCAGGCUGCUGCUGGAGCACCUAGAGUGCCUUGUCUCCAGGCAUGAGCGCUCUCUGCGGAUGACAGUGGUGAAGAGGCAGGCACAGUCGCCUGCAGGCGUGUCCAGCGAGGUGGAGGUGCUGAAAGCGCUCAAGUCACUGUUUGAGCACCACAAAGCCUUGGAUGAGAAGGUACGAGAGCGACUCCGAGUAGCCUUGGAGAGGUGCAGCUUGUUAGAGGAGGAGCUGGGUGCUACCCACAAAGAGCUAAUGAUUCUUAAAGAACAGAAUAAUCAGAAGAAAACACUAACAGAUGGAAUGCUUGACGGAAACCAUGAACAGGAAAACACACCAAGCACCAACGGCAAGAGAUCUUCUGACGGCUCCUUGAGCCAUGAGGAUCUUGCCAAAGUGCUGGAGCUGCAGGAAGUCAUAGACAGGCAGGCGAGAGAGCAGAGCCAGAUGAAGGAGCGCCUGGCGUCCCUGUCCAGUCACGCAGCAGAGCUGGAGGAGGAUCUGGACACAGCUAGAAAAGACCUCAUCAAGUCUGAAGAGAUGAACACGAAACUGCAGCGAGAUGUCCGCGAAGCGAUGGCCCAGAAGGAGGAUAUGGAGGAGAGAAUCACCACCCUUGAGAAACGCUACCUCGCAGCACAACGUGAAGCCACGUCUGUGCAUGACCUCAAUGACAAACUUGAAAAUGAAAUUGCAAAUAAAGACUCCAUGCACCGACAGACGGAAGAUAAGAACCGCCAGUUGCAAGAGCGAUUGGAGUUGGCAGAGCAGAAACUGCAGCAGACCCUGCGGAAAGCUGAGACACUGCCAGAGGUGGAGGCUGAGCUGGCCCAGAGGGUGGCUGCACUCUCCAAGUCUGGUCCUUUGUCUUCUGGGAGUUCUGCUGCUAAGGAAGCUAAACUGUUGGAGCUUACUUCCAAGCUUAGGAAGGCCGAGGAGAGACAUGGCAACAUUGAAGAGAGGCUGCGGCAGAUGGAGGCACAGCUGGAGGAGAAGAAUCAGGAGCUGCAGCGGGCAAGGCAGAGAGAAAAGAUGAACGAGGAACAUAAUAAGCGCCUGUCUGACACUGUGGACAAGCUGCUCUCGGAGUCCAAUGAGAGGCUGCAGCUGCAUCUGAAGGAGAGAAUGGCGGCGCUGGAGGACAAGAAUUCUUUACUGCGGGAAGUCGAAAAUGCAAAGAAGCAACUGGAAGAGACGCAGCAUGAUAAGGACCAACUUGUCCUGAAUAUUGAAGCCCUGAGGGCCGAGUUGGACCAGAUGAGACUGAGAGGCCCUUCACUUCAUCACGGCCGACCCCAUUUGGGCAGCAUCCCGGACUUCAGGUUCCCUGUGGCAGACGGGCAUGUGGAUGCUUACAGCACCAGUGCAGUGUUGCGGCGCCCCCAGAAGGGCCGGCUGGCGGCGCUGCGGGACGAGCCCUCCAAGGUACAGACCCUCAACGAACAGGAUUGGGAACGGGCCCAACAAGCCAGCGUCUUGGCAAAUGUGGCACAGGCAUUUGAGAGUGAUGUGGAUGUGUCCGAUGGUGAAGAUGACAGAGAAACUCUGCUCAGCUCAGUUGAUCUGCUGUCACCCAGUGGGCAGGCUGAUGCACAGACACUGGCCAUGAUGCUUCAGGAGCAGCUGGAUGCCAUCAACAAAGAGAUCAGGCUGAUACAAGAAGAGAAGGAGAAUACAGAGCAGCGAGCAGAGGAGAUCGAGAGCAGAGUGGGCAGUGGAAGCUUGGACAAUCUUGGUCGUUUUAGAUCAAUGAGCUCUAUCCCCCCCUACCCUGCUUCCUCGCUUGCUGGCUCUUCUCCUCCAGGCAGUGGUCGGUCCACACCAAGAAGAGUCCCUCACAGUCCUGCCCGGGAGGUGGACAGGCUGGGUGUCAUGACUCUGCCUAGUGACUUAAGGAAGCACCGGAGACAGUUGCCAGCUUCCAGAGAAGAGGUACGAGACGACAAGACGACAAUAAAAUGUGAAACCUCUCCCCCCUCCUCCCCGAGGCCCCUGCGCUUAGACAGGCUGCACAAGGGCGCACUGCACACGCUCAGCCAUGAGGACAUCAGGGACCUGAGGAACUCCACAGGCUCCCAGGAGGGUCCUGUGAGCAACCCUAGCAGCAGUAAUAGUAGCCAGGACUCCCUCCACAAAGCCCCAAAGAAGAAGGGCAUCAAGUCCUCCAUUGGCCGCUUGUUUGGCAAGAAGGAAAAGGGCCGGCCUGGGCCACUGGGCAAGGAAUCACCAGGACAAGCUGGUGUUUCAGAGACAGAAAAUUCAUCUCAAGAUGCCUUGGGACUCAGCAAACUGGGAGGACAAGCUGAGAAAACCCGUAAACUUCAGAAAAAGCAUGAGCUGCUGGAGGAGGCCCGCAGGCAAGGUUUGCCUUUCGCACAGUGGGAUGGGCCCACGGUGGUGGUGUGGCUGGAGCUCUGGGUUGGGAUGCCUGCAUGGUAUGUGGCUGCUUGCCGAGCAAACGUCAAGAGUGGCGCCAUCAUGUCGGCCCUGUCGGACACCGAGAUCCAGCGGGAGAUUGGCAUCAGCAACCCCUUGCACAGGCUGAAGCUGCGGCUGGCCAUCCAGGAGAUCAUGUCAUUGACCAGCCCUUCUGCCCCACCCACAUCCAGGACGACCACAGGAAAUGUCUGGUUGACACAUGAAGAGAUGGAAACGCUCACAGCCACGCCUCAAACGGAAGACGAGGAGGGAAGCUGGGCUCAGCAGACGCUAGCAUAUGGGGACAUGAACCACGAGUGGAUCGGCAACGAGUGGCUGCCCAGCCUGGGUCUGCCGCAGUACCGCAGCUACUUCAUGGAGUGCCUUGUAGAUGCCCGGAUGCUGGACCACCUGACCAAGAAAGACCUGCGAGGGCAGCUGAAGAUGGUCGACAGCUUCCACAGAAACAGUUUCCAGUGUGGAAUUAUGUGCCUGAGAAGGUUGAAUUAUGACCGAAAAGAACUGGAAAGAAAAAGAGAAGAGAGUCAGAAUGAGACAAGAGAUGUGCUUGUUUGGAGCAAUGACCGGGUGAUUCGCUGGAUCCUGUCAAUUGGCCUUAAAGAGUAUGCCAACAAUCUAAUAGAGAGUGGUGUUCACGGAGCACUUCUAGCCUUGGACGAGACUUUCGACUUCAGUGCCCUGGCACUAUUGUUACAGAUUCCAACACAGAAUACACAGGCUCGAGCUGUCUUGGAAAGAGAGUUCAACAACCUUUUGGUCACGGGGACUGAUCGAAGGUUUGAUGAGGACGAUGACAAAAGUUUCAGGAGAGCACCUUCAUGGAGGAAGAAGUUCAGACCAAAGGACAUCCGCGGCCUGGCCUCUGGCUCUGCAGAGACGUUGCCUGCUAACUUCCGGGUCACCUCCUCUAUGUCAUCACCCUCUAUGCAGCCAAAGAAGGUUCAAAUGGACGGUAUGUGGUGGGCCCUGCAACCACCACAUGUGGGGAGUGUGAGCACUGGCUGCACCUGGGGCAUUGGAGUGAGGCUGCAUGCUCAGGUGUAUUUGUUGUUCAGCUAACCCUAACAUUGGUUCCUCAAGAUUAACCAAAGUAACAGAAACUAAGAAAGUCCUCGUUUGAUUGAGCGCUACACUGUUUUCCCUAAGGCUUAGUCCUGUCUGUUUUGGGGAUGGGGUUGAGCCCAUCUGUGAGAUGAGACUCGAAGGCAGCACAGGUGCGCAUACUGGAUGUCACCGUGCCGAAGCCCUGACCACAGAGCUGCUCCUGAAGCAGAGUUUUAACUGUAGUAGCCUAGGCUGUCCUCACAGUCACAGUAAGCCUCCUGCCUCAGCUUCAUGAAUGCUGGAAUUAGAGGCAUAAGCCACAAUACCUGGCCCAAGUAAAUUGUAAAGAAUGCAGUUUCCACCUCUUUGUGCUGUUUGUUAGUCACAUGUGUCCGUGUUGUAGGACAGGGAGAUUGUCUGGAACUAGCAGAAAUGGGCGCAGUGAGUGGAUAGGGGACACAAGUCAGAGGAGGUUUGCCUAGGCCUUGAUUAGGCAUGUUUUGAGCAGUCCCUCUGGCUGUGCCAUGUGUUCCUGAGGAGAUUUUGGUAACUGACAGCCACAAACUUGAAGCAGCCAAACCUGAGCCCUAGCAGUCAGGCUGCUCCUCCUUGCUGAUGCAGGUGGUGUGUUCGCUGCUGGUCUGCUGGGAUUCUUGCUCUCACAGCACAAACCAGAGGCCAGAGGCAAGUACAUGAGCAAAGCUUCACGGGGCUGGACUCCUGGGAAGCACAUGGAAACAUAGCUGGUUUGGCCAUGGUUCGGUAUUAUGCUUACAGGGGAAGGUCCAGUCUUUUCUGCUCACAGCAACUUCAUGAGAGCCAGUGUGAGCCUGGUGUACCAGCCUAGCUCAGGCUAAAUGGGCACAUGUAGGCUUUCCCUGUUCUAAAACACACUUGUUGGUCAAACACUAAUACUCUAAGAAUAAGAGCUUAGAGAGAAAGCAGCCUAGAAAGAGGUGUAGGAGUCUAGGGUGUGGACGUGACUUCCUCUACUCCAUUUGGGAGAAGGCAUCUCCUGGCCACCAGCUGUGUUGAGGUCUUCUGAGUGAGGAGAGGUAAGAUGUAGUGCAUAUGGCAGGCAUUCCUUCCACCUAAGUCCGCUAUCUCAGUGGCUCCGAGAGUGUGGCUGUGAGAACUUAGCCUCCUCUCUGUGCACAGGCCCAUCCUGUCUCUUAAGCCGUGCUGGCUGUUUAUUAAAUGACAACCAGCAGCUCAGCGGUUUCCAUGGUUUCUGAUGAAACUGAGUCUGGGCAUUGGUUUCCUAGGAGAAGCCACUGUCCUGGCCAUCGUGCUCUUUCAUGGAGCCUUCUGAGUGUAGUAGCCUCAGUCUCUCCCACAGCCCCUCCUGGGGCUGGGUUCACCUCUGGGUUCUUGGAGGUGCAGUAUUCUGGCAGAAGACUUGUGGUGCAGUCUCGAGAAACGUGGCAGUCUCUUUUGUAGUUGUCACUCAUGUACAUGGACACCUGAAGUUGUGUGUUGCUUGCUCGUUACUGUUUCUGAGUUGGCUGCCAGUUCCUGGGCCCUCAGAGGGGAGCCUCUGGGCCACCCUGCUGUUCUUGACUGGCUCCUUCCCCACAGCAGCCUGUCCUCCUAUCCCUCGGGAAGUCUUGUCAGAUGUGGAAUGUCUUUUUUGUCCCCUUGUGUGAUGUUUAACACUAACUGCACGCUGUGUUUGCACGCUUCCUCCCAUGGUUGUGGAGACAGGUAGUGUGUCCGGAGCACAGAGGCUGGACUCUGCCACAGUCAGGACUUACUCCUGCUAGAGCCUCCUGCUGUUUACCCGCACUACUUCUACAGAUGACGACGACGCCAUGGCAGAGACGGUGCAGGGCUUGGUGGAGCCCCAUCUGGCAACACUUGCUAUAUGGACCCAAGAUAUUUUAUUACAGAGUUUUUAAACUUGUGGGGAAAAGAAAAAUCACAAAUACCAUAGAGAAAAUAUUUUAGAAUUGACUGUUUCUUAUAUUUAUGUAAACUUACACUUUCUCAUUUAUAUAGUUACAUACUCUUUCAUGUAUAUCCAGGCUAUAAAUAUCCUUUUGAGUCAAUUCAUGUUCUUAUACCUAAUUUUAGUCUUUUAAAUGAAUGUACUGUAAUGCUUGUGUGUAAAUCUGAGCAAAUAUAGGGCUUUUGUAAAUUAUGCAUUUACUGUAAUUAUUCCUGUUUAAUUUUUUAAUGAUGAACCCGACAGAGGAAAGGAUUUUGCUACAUUUAUAAAGUCAUCAUGAUACAAGCCAUGUGCGUUCUCCUCUACCCAGCUCUGCAACAAUCAUUCUGAAACAAGCAGACUUUAUUUCCAGACGUUUUUCUGUCGUAUUUUAAUGACUGACCUUUACUGUACUUUUUCUACACGAAAUCUCAGCUUCCAUUAGUCUUGGGACGGAUGGUCAGGACUCUGUGAACAACCCUUACCCCUGGCCACAUCCCUGGCCCUGCUCUGGACAUAGGUUGGUGAUCUUCAGAGCUGAGCAGGGCCUUGAGCUAGGAGCAGCACUCUACCGGGCUGGGUGGCUGCCACCUGCGGACUGAGCAGCUGAUAGAGCCUUUGCAGCUGCAUCCCUCCUUCCACACUCUUCAAGGACCAAUCACGGGGCAGGUGCUCAUUUCCUGACUGGGGCAGAGCAGGUGAAAGCCAGAAACCUCAGCGGAGCAGGCAGCCUGCAACUCCAAUAAAGGCCUUAUUUUUCUUGUGUAAACUGUCUUUUUACAUUUAUUUGUAAAUGUCUUAAGAAUGGACCUAGCUGUACACUCAUAGUUGUCUUGGCAGCCUCCUGACUGACUCUGGUGAGUUAAGCCACAGGGCUCAGGCAGACACGUGUGUAUUUAUUAUGUAGCUGAUGUGGGGCUUCAAUAUUUGCUUUCUGCUUUUAACUCAUCUGGACAAUUGGUUGUUCUGUUUUUCUGUUAAUCGUUUGUGACCCUCCCAAUUACAUAACAAAGUCUGUGCAGUCAACUUCUGAACUGUUUUUAUCACAGUGUUAUUUAUUGCUUUUUUUCAAUAAAGUCCCCAGCAUUUUCCACUGCCA